CGUAGGGGGCAAGCGUUGUCCGGAAUUAUUGGGCGUAAAGCGCGUGUAGGCGGUCCGGUAAGUCGGCUGUGAAAGUCCAGGGCUCAACCCUGGGAUGCCGGUCGAUACUGCCGGACUAGAGUUCGGAAGAGGCGAGUGGAAUUCCCGGUGUAGCGGUGAAAUGCGCAGAUAUCGGGAGGAACACCAAUGGCGAAGGCAGCUCGCUGGGACGUUACUGACGCUGAGACGCGAAAGCGUGGGGAGCAAACAGGAUUAGGUACCCUGGUAGUCCACGCCGUAAACGAUGGGCACUAGGUGUGGGAGGUGUCGACUCCUCCCGUGCCGGAGCUAACGCAUUAAGUGCCCCGCCUGGGGAGUACGGCCGCAAGGCUA
rnacentral:rRNA from 1 species